GAUGAACGCUGGCGGCGUGCUUAAUACAUGCAAGUCGAGCGAACAGACGUGUAUCUUGUUCCUUCGACGUUAGCAGCGCACGGGUGAGUACCACGUAGGUAACAUCACCAUAUGACUGGGAUAACUUCGGGCCACCGGACCUAAUACCGGAAAAAAUUUCGAACCCCAUGGUUCGCUAGCGAAAGAUGACUUUGCUAUCACUUAUAGAUGGACCUGAGCCGUUUUUGCUGAUUGGUACGGUAACGGCUUACCAAGGCAACGGUACGUAGCCGACCUGCGAGGGUGAUCGGACACACUGGAACAGAAACACGGUCCAGACUGCUACGGGGAGCAGCAGCAGGGUAUCUUGCGCAGUGGGCGAGAGCCUGACGGAGCAACGCCGCAUGGGUCAUGAAGGUCUUCGGAUCGGAAAACUCUGUUAUUAGGGAAGAUCAAACGCUUAAGUAACUGUACACGUCUUGACGGUACCUAGUCAGAAAGCCGCGGCUAACUCCGUG
rnacentral:rRNA from 1 species